GAUGAACGCUAGCGGCGUGCCUAACACAUGCAAGUCGAACGUGAGAGGGUACUUGUAUCCUUGAAAGUGGCGGACGGGUGAGUAAGACGUAGGUGACCUGCCUUGAAGUGGGGGAUAACCAUUGGAAACGAUGGCUAAUACCGCAUAAGCUGGUGACGAUGGGAAUCGUUAUCAGGAAAGCUUUAGUGCUUUGAGAGGGGCCUACGGCCGAUUAGCUAGUUGGUGAGGUAACGGCUCACCAAGGCGACGAUGCGUAGCCGACCUGAGAGGGUGAUCGGCCACAUUGGGACUGAGACACGGCCCAGACUCCUACGGGAGGCAGCAGUGGGGAAUAUUGCACAAUGGGGGAAACCCUGAUGCAGCAACGCCGCGUGAGUGAUGACGGCCUC
rnacentral:rRNA from 1 species